rnacentral:rRNA from 1 species
GAUGAACGCUGGCGGCGUGCCUAAUACAUGCAAGUCGAGCGAACAGACGAGGAGCUUGUUCCUCUGACGUUAGCGGCGGACGGGUGAGUAACACGUGGAUAACCUACCUAUAAGACUGGGAUAAUUUCGGGAAACCGGAGCUUAUACCGGAUAAUAUAUUGAACCGCAGGGUUCAAUAGUGAAAUACGGUUUUUCUGUCACUUAUAGAUGGAUCCGCGCUGCAUUAUCUAGUUGGUAAGGUAACGGCGUACCAAGGCAACGAUGCGUAGCCGACCUGAGAGGGUGAUCGGCCACCCUGGAACUGAGACGCGGUCCAGACUCCUGCGGGAGGCAGCAGUAGGGAGUCUUCCGCAAUGGGCGGAAGCCUGACGGAGCAACGCCGCGUGAGUGAUGAAGGUCUUCGGAUCGUAAAACUCUGUUAUUAGUGAAGAACAAAUGUGUAAGUAACUAUGCACGUCUUGACGGUACCUAAUCAGAAAGCCACGGCUAACUACGUG